rnacentral:rRNA from 1 species
GACGAACGCUGGCGGCGUGCUUAACACAUGCAAGUCGAACGGAAAGGCCCUGCUUUUGUGGGGUGCUCGAGUGGCGAACGGGUGAGUAACACGUGAGUAACCUGCCCUUGACUUUGGGAUAACUUCAGGAAACUGGGGCUAAUACCUGAUAGGAGCUCCUGCUGCAUGGUGGGGGUUGGAAAUUUUCGGCGGUUGGGGCUGGAGUCGCGGCUUAUCAGCUUGUUGGUGGGGUAGUGGCUUACCAAGGCUUUGACGGGUAGCCGGCCUGAGAGGGUGACCGGCCACAAUGGGACUGAGAUACGGACCAGACUCCUACGGGAGGCAGCAGUGGGGAAUAUUGCACAAUGGGCGGAAGCCUGAUGCAGCAACGCCGCGUGCGGGAUGACGGCCUUCGGGUUGUAAACCGCUUUCGCCUGUGACGAAGCGUGAGUGACGGUAAUGGGUAAAGAAGCACCGGCUAACUACGUG